rnacentral:lncRNA from 1 species
AUGUGUUAUCACCCCACAGUACAGCAUGUGUUAUCACCCCACAGUACAGGAUGUGUUAUCACCCCACAGUACAGGAUGUGUUAUCACCCCACAGUACGGGAUGUGUUAUCACCCCACAGUACAGGAUGUGUUAUCACCCCACAGUACAGGAUGUGUUAUCACCCCACAGUACAGGAUGUGUUAUCACCCCACAGUCCGGGAUGUGUUAUCACCCCACAGUACAGGAUGUGUUAUAACCCCACAGUACAGCAUGUGUUAUCACCCCACAGUACAGGAUGUGUUAUCACCCCACAGUACAGGAUGUGUUAUCACCCCACAGUACAGGAUGUGUUAUCACCCCACAGUACAGGAUGUGUUAUCACCCCACAGUACAGGAUGUGUUAUCACCCCACAGUACAGGAUGUGUUAUCACCCCACAGUACAGGAUGUGGUAUCACCCCACAGUACAGGAUGUGUUAUCACCCCACAGUACAGGAUGUGUUAUCACCCCACUGUACAGGAUGUGUUAUCACCCCACAGUACAGGAUAUGUUAUAACCCCACAGUACAGGAUGUGUUAUCACCCCACAGUACAGGAUGUGUUAUCACCCCACAGUCCGGGAUGUGUUAUCACCCCACAGUCCGGGAUGUGUUAUCACCCCACAGUACAGGAUGUGUUAUCACCCCACAGUACAAGGUGUGUUAUCACCCCACAGUACAGGAUGUGUUAUCACCCCACAGUACAGGAUGUGUUAUCACCCCACAGUACAGGAUGUGUUAUAACCCCACAGUACAGCAUGUGAUGUGUUAUCACCCCACAGUACAGGAUGUGUUAUCACCCCACAGUACAGGAUGUGGUAUCACCCCACAGUACAGGAUGUGUUAUCACCCCACAGUACAGGAUGUGUUAUCACCCCACAGUACAGGAUGUGUUAUAACCCCACAGUACAGGAUGUGUUAUCACCCCACAGUACAGGAUGUGUUAUCACCCCACAGUACAGGAUGUGUUAUCACCCCACAGUACAGGAUGUGUUAUCACCCCACAGUACAGUACAGGAUGUGUUAUCACCCCACAGUACAGGAUGUGUUAUCACCCCACAGUACAGGAUGUGUUAUCACCCCACAGUACAGUACAGGAUGUGUUAUCACCCCACAGUAUAGGAUGUGUUAUAACCCCACAGUACAGGAUGUUCAGGUGCAGGUGGAGCAGUAUAAAUGCUUCCCUUGGUUUUUAAUCUCUUCCUGGUCAACAUCCUCCUGCCUGUUAAACCCUGCUGUGGAGGUGGAGGGAGGGGGAUAAGAUAGUACAGGGAGGGAUGGAGAUAAUAUUGAAACAGUGAGAGAGAGAAAAAGAGGGAGGAAAUAGACAGUAGAGAGGGAGAGGGAUUAUGGAGGAGA